rnacentral:rRNA from 1 species
AGAGUUUGAUCCUGGCUCAGGAUGAACGCUAGCUACAGGCUUAACACAUGCAAGUCGAGGGGCAGCAUGUUGGUUGCUUGCAACCAACGAUGGCGACCGGCGCACGGGUGAGUAACGCGUAUCCAACCUACCCUUGUCCAUCGGAUAACCCGUCGAAAGGCGGCCUAACACGAUAUGCGGUUCACAGCAGGCAUCUAACGUGGACGAAAUGUGAAGGAGAAGGAUGGGGAUGCGUCUGAUUAGCUUGUUGGCGGGGUAACGGCCACCAAGGCUACGAUCAGUAGGGGCUCUGAGAGGAAGGUCCCCCANAUUGGAACUGAGACACGGUCCAAACUCCUACGGGAGCA